GACGAACGCUGGCGGCGUGCUUAACACAUGCAAGUCGAACGGAAAGGCCCUGCGUUUGUGGGGUGCUCGAGUGGCGAACGGGUGAGUAACACGUGAGUAACCUGCCCUUGACUUUGGGAUAACUUCAGGAAACUGGGGCUAAUAUCGGAUAGGAGCUCCUGCUGCAGGGGGGGGGUUGGAAAGUUUCGGCGGUUGGGGAUGGACUCGCGGGUUAUCAGCUUGUUGGGGGGGUAGUGGCUUACCAAGGCUUUGACGGGUAGCCGGCCUGAGAGGGUGACCGGGCACAAUGGGACUGCGAGAGGGAGCAGACUGCUACGGGAGGCAGUAGUGGGGAAUCUUGCACAAUGGGCCGGCGCGUGAUGCAGCAACGCCGGGUGCGGGAUGCCGGCUUUCGGGUUGUAAACCGCUUUCGCCUGUGACGAAGCGUGAGUGACGGUAAUGGGUAAAGAAGCACCGGCUAACUACGUG
rnacentral:rRNA from 1 species